rnacentral:rRNA from 1 species
UGCAGUCGAACGCUUUGUCUUUAAUUGAUAUGAAGAGCUUGCUCUGAUUUGAUUUUAUCUGACAAAGAGUGGCGAACGGGUGAGUAACACGUGGGUAACCUACCUCUUAGCAGGGGAUAACAUUUGGAAACAAGUGCUAAUACCGUAUAACACUAACAACCGCAUGGUUGUUAGUUGAAAGAUGGUUCUGCUAUCACUAAGAGAUGGACCCGCGGUGCAUUAGCUAGUUGGUAAGGUAAUGGCUUACCAAGGCGAUGAUGCGUAGCCGAGUUGAGAGACUGAUCGGCCACAAUGGGACUGAGACACGGCCCAUACUCCUACGGGAGGCAGCAGUAGGGAAUCUUCCACAAUGGGCGCAAGCCUGAUGGAGCAACGCCGCGUGUGUGAUGAAGGGUUUCGGCUCGUAAAACACUGUUAUAAGAGAAGAACGACAUUGAGAGUAACUGUUCAGUGUGUGACGGUAUCUUAUCAGAAAGGAACGGCUAAAUACGUGCCAGCAGCCGCGGUAAUACGUAUGUUCCAAGCGUUAUCCGGAUUUAUUGGGCGUAAAGCGAGCGCAGACGGUUAUUUAAGUCUGAAGUGAAAGCCCUCAGCUCAACUGAGGAAGGGCUUUGGAAACUGGAUAACUUGAGUGCAGUAGAGGAAAGUGGAACUCCAUGUGUAGCGGUGAAAUGCGUAGAUAUAUGGAAGAACACCGGUGGCGAAAGCGGCUUUCUGGACUGUAACUGACGUUGAGGCUCGAAAGUGUGGGUAGCAAACAGGAUUAGAUAC